rnacentral:rRNA from 1 species
UCCAGACUCCUACGGGAGGCAGCAGUGGGGAAUAUUGCACAAUGGGGGAAACCCUGAUGCAGCGACGCCGCGUGAGUGAAGAAGUAUUUCGGUAUGUAAAGCUCUAUCAGCAGGGAAGAAAAUGACGGUACCUGACUAAGAAGCCCCGGCUAACUACGUGCCAGCAGCCGCGGUAAUACGUAGGGGGCAAGCGUUAUCCGGAUUUACUGGGUGUAAAGGGAGCGUAGACGGCAUGGCAAGUCAGAUGUGAAAGCCCGGGGCUCAACCCCGGGACUGCAUUUGAAACUGUCAGGCUGGAGUGCAGGAGAGGUAAGUGGAAUUCCUAGUGUAGCGGUGAAAUGCGUAGAUAUACGGAGGAACACCAGUGGCGAAGGCGGCCUGCUGGACAUUAACUGACGCUGAGGCGCGAAAGCGUGGGGAGCAAACAGGAUUAGAUACCCGAGUA